rnacentral:ncRNA from 2 species
AAGCAGUUGUACGACUGGCGGAAAAAGCAGGAUUACCUGCGGGGAGUACAACGUUAUCCUGAUGCCGACCGCCUGGGCGACCGCU